CUGCCGGAGUGGACGGUCGCUGCCCGGUUCGCCGGGGGGAGGAAAGUCCGGACUCCGCAGGGCAGGAUGUCCCGUUGUUAAAGCGGGAGGCUUUCCGCGAUACCGGAAAGUACGGAAAGUGCCACAGAAACAAACCGCCUUGCGUUUCGGCGCGAGGUAAGGGUGAAAAGGUGGGGUAAGAGCCCACCGCCCCGAGAGAGAUCGAGGGGGCCAGGCAAACCCCGUCCGGAGCAAGAUCAAAUAGGAAGCGAGGAGCGGCCCGCUCCACGCCGCGCAAGCGGCAAAGCUUCGGGUGCAUCGCGUAGAUAAAUGACCGUGUGAACAGAAUCCGGCUUACGGCUCCGGCAGGCAC
rnacentral:RNase_P_RNA from 1 species